GGAAACUUGGAAACUACCGUUGGAUUGGGAAAUGGACGUCCGAGAUUCGUCCACGUCACCAUGAGUUAAAAUUUAACUCGCAGAUUCACUUAUGAGUUUAAAAUUUUACUAGGAGUUAAAUUUUAACUCAUGGUGACGUGGGCGAAUCUCGGACGUCCAUUUCUCGAUCCAACGGUAGUUCCAAGUUUCC
rnacentral:pre_miRNA from 1 species